UUCUGUGGUUUUUAGCCGACGCGGGAGCUGGCGCGUCUCCGGUGUGGCCCGGCAGCGCCCGCCCAACUGCGGCGGCCCCGGAGGCCCAGGUCACCCCGUGGGCCUGAUGGCCCCAACUUUUCCGAGGACCAGCCGUCAUGUUGCCCCGUGUGCGGCCCUUCGUCGCCCAGCUGGGCAGCUGCACCUGGUCCCCCUUGGUGCCCUGUGCAACCUCGCCCCCCACCGCCAGCUGCUCCGCUCGGUCACUGUGGAUUCCCGAUGUCCUGGUACUUGUGCAGGACCACUUGGUGUGCCUCACCUGAUGGGACACCCAGCGUCACUUCUCAGAGGCUAUUCAUCACCACCACCCCCACCUCUGUUGUGGCCUAUGCGGUCUCACCCACUGCCACCCCCACCACCACCGGUUACAGCACUCGGUAAGAUGAGAGCAUGUGCUUCUGCUCCCUUGUCGAGUCUUUGCAGAAGGGGAGAUGGCACUCCAGGGCCUUGCGAUGCCUGAGGAAAUCUGACUUGGGACAUUGUGACGUCUGUCUAGCUUCCCAGCACACACAUCUGAUGGACUGUGUCAUUUCCCCAUCCUGACCUGGGAAGCAGAUGUCUCUUGUAUAGAACAGAAUAGACUUUUGACAGAAUAUCAAAUGAAUUUGAAGUCCCAGUUUGGCAGAUGUGCCUCUUGCAUGGACCAUGUGAUGUGCUCUGUGAGGGGUGAAGCACACCCCUAACUUCAGGGGCUCAUGGGGUUGCCUUGAGGGGUAAGGGAGUGAGUGAGGGAGAGAGACAUUCACAGCAGACAGCUUGUCACCAUAGCAGAUGUGCCCGUGCAGGGCCUCAGAGUGCAGAAGAGGGACACGUGAGCCACACAGGAGUGAAUAAGAGGGUGUGGAGGGGAAGAAAGAAAUUGAAGGGCUGCCCAGUGGGCAUUUGUUGGGUUCACUCAGAUGGAGCUGGAAGGUCACUCCUGGCAGGGCGGGCAGCUCAGGCGGGCCGUGUGAAUGCAGCGUGAGGUCCACUCAGAGCCACUUGUGUGUGCAGGGGACUCAGUGCAGCCAUGCACGUAUCCCCUUCAGAACCCAGUGCCUUCAGAAAGCCCUCAGUUCACAACCUCAUAUAAAGAUGAUUGUUCUCUUGGGUUUAUGAAAGUUCUGGGUCUGGAUGAAAUCUCUGGAUAUCAGAAAAACUGAAAUUUAGCUUGUUUUUUUCAGGGUAAUUUGUGUGGCUGAAGUUUUCUUUUGCCCCAGUGAUUUGAAAAGUGCAGGCAGGAUUUAGAUCAGCUGAGCAGGUGCCUUGCCCUUCAGCAUGAGUCAGGUUCUUUGGGGGAAGUCAGGGGUGAUCAGGAGACACCCUGUAGGACCCCUGUCCCUACACCCCUGCUCCCUCCUGUCACCAUGCCCACUGUCAGCUUGGCAUCUCCACAUUUAUGUCACAAGAUCCAAUUUCUGAUUCUUUGAGUUCUUGCAGUUCAUCCCCUAACACCAAGACUCAGUGGGGCCCCCACAGGGUCUCAGUGUUGUUCUCUGUGAGCCGGGGGGAAACGCUGGUCCCUGACAUCAUUGUGAGGAGGGUUGGGUCAAGCACACACAUUGUUUUGCAAAAUGACUGGGACAUAUUUAUCACUCAGCAUUCUCAUAGUUUAAAAGAAAGUGUCUGCACACAGAAUUAUCAAAAGAGACCUUAGGAAGUACAUUAAAUUAAACUGAAGAUAUAAGAGCUCAGGCCCAGAGCUUACCAUUCUCUGCUUUAAACAUAAGGCAAAAGGUCCCUUUCUUCUAUUAAAUAUUAGGUCUUACUAGUUAAAGAAGGAAAUAUAAUAAUGAGAAUGUGCACAUUUUGAGAUCUGUGUCUGAGAUGUGAAAAUAAUUAUUUUCAUUCUGUAUAGACACGGAGAUGCACACACAGACUACAGUGUCUGUCAGAGGCCAUACAUACAUUAGAGAAGACAAAAUCAGGAAAAAAUAAGAUCCUAUUAAAAUAAAUAACUCCUUUUGCCUUACAGCACAGUCCAUUUGCCAACUGAAGGGGCCCCUCAGCUGUGGCAAUUAUGUGUUUAGAGAAGAUGUCAGAGGUGCAUUACGGCCCGAAUGUUUCCCUGCUCCAUCCUGCCCCCUCUGCUGUUCUCUCCUAUUGUCACCCCUAAUGAAAUUGUCACAGUUCUCUCUGUGUCAGUGUCUGCUUCCUGGAGGACUAGUGGUCACACCCUCUUGAGGGCAUGCAGUGAUUCACGGGCACACAACUCACAAACCAGCAGGAACUAAGAUGACAGGGCAGAUGCAAGGUUACCCCUUCAGGGCAGCAGUGACCACAGGGGCCCCGGGGCUCCUCCUGGGUGGUGGGUACAGCCUGUGUCUAGAUCUAGUGAUGGCUGUGCUGCUUCAGUCCGUAAACACUCACUGGGCAUGUGGGGCCUGUCAGUCACAGGGGUGUCCGGUCAUGAGCUAGAUGACCAGAAUGAAGUGGCCGUGUCUCAUGGUGAGGAACGGAUGAGGUGCAGGGAGGCCAUGGGUGUCCAGCGAGAGGCCCUGCACUGACCAGGCCCGUGCCCCCGCCCUGCGUCAGCUGCACAGCAGCCCCGGCUCCAGGCAGACCCUGAGGGGGGCUGAGGGCGGUAGUGCUCUCAGUGGGCCCCAUGAGAGCCCUUCAUCCUCCCACAGCCUCCCGACUCUGAGGUGGGA